UACGAAGGGGGCUAGCGUUGCUCGGAAUCACUGGGCGUAAAGGGCGCGUAGGCGGACUCUUAAGUCGGGGGGUGAAAGCCCAGGGCUCAACCCUGGAAUUGCCUUCGAUACUGAGAGUCUUGAGUUCGGAAGAGGUUGGUGGAACUGCGAGUGUAGAGGUGAAAUUCGUAGAUAUUCGCAAGAACACCAGUGGCGAAGGCGGCCAACUGGUCCGAUACUGACGCUGAGGCGCGAAAGCGUGGGGAGCAAACAGGG
rnacentral:rRNA from 1 species